GACUUGCCGCACUGGCUGACCACGUGUUGGACUUCUUCAGUCCUUUGAGCUUCUUCUCGUUCUUUUGUUCCUUGACUAUUUUUGACUUCAAGACAGUACCUAAUAAUGUAUAGUACCACUCUCUCUCCAUCUUGUAGGUGAUGUUUCAGAAAUUGUUCAAAAGAAGGUGCUCGUUGAAGUUGUUGCCAUUAGUUACGAGGAGCCACGCCCACUUAAAAAAAAACAGAAAAGCUGCAGAGAUGAUUUUAGCAGGUGUUGCAUUGAAGCUAAAAUAAAAAUAAAAUCUGUUGAUAGUGUCAGUAUCUAUAUUGAGUCAAAUUUUACUUGUCAAUCUGGAAUCAGUAUUUAGGAGGUUAAUUUGACCUUUGUGUGUUCUGGUGACCUUUCAAACUGAAGCCCAUAUCAUGACUUACAGUAUUGAAUUGAUCAUACACCUCUCUACCUCUCGGACUUUCUGCAUUGCAAGAUAGUCAGCAUAAGGUUAUGGUAUACUGUUACUGUUCUUAUGGGGUACCCAAUGUAUGCUCCUUUUCAUCAAAGAGGAAGAAUUACUCUAACAACUAGAUCAGUAGCGUUGCUGAGGAAAUGACUGUUGCUAUGACAACUGUACAUAUACAUGUACAUCAAUGAA